rnacentral:rRNA from 1 species
AUUGAACGCUAGCGGGAUGCCAUACACAUGCAAGUCGAACGGAGUGGCGAACGGGCGAGUAAUGUAUCGGAACGUGCCCAGUAGCGGGGGAUAACUACGCGAAAGCGUAGCUAAUACCGCAUACUAUUGGAGCGGCCGAUAUCGGAGUAGCUAGUUGCUGGGGUAACGGCGCAACAAGGCGACGACACGUAGCUGGUUUGAGAGGACGAACAGCCACACUGGGACUGAGACAAGGCCCAGAAUCCUACGAUAGGAAGCAGUGGGGAAUGUUGGACAAAGGGGGAAACCCUGAUCCAGACAUCGCGCGUGUGCGAUGAAGGCCUUCGGGUUGUAAAGCACAUUUGGCAGGAAAGCAGUAACUGCAGAAUAAGCACCGACUAACUACGUGCCAGCAGCCGCGGUAAUAC